GAGCUUGAUCCUGGCUCAGAACGAACGCUGGCGGCAGGCUUAACACAUGCAAGUCGAGCGCCCCGCAAGGGGAGCGGCAGACGGGUGAGUAACGCGUGGGAAUCUACCCAUCUCUACGGAAUAACGCAUGGAAACGUGUGCUAAUACCGUAUGAGCCCUUCGGGGGAAAGAUUUAUCGGAGAUGGAUGAGCCCGCGUUGGAUUAGCUAGUUGGUGGGGUAAAGGCCUACCAAGGCGACGAUCCAUAGCUGGUCUGAGAGGAUGAUCAGCCACAUUGGGACUGAGACACGGCCCAAACUCCUACGGGAGGCAGCAGUGGGGAAUAUUGGACAAUGGGCGCAAGCCUGAUCCAGCCAUGCCGCGUGAGUGAUGAAGGCCUUAGGGUUGUAAAGCUCUUUCACCGGAGAAGAUAAUGACGGUAUCC
rnacentral:rRNA from 1 species